rnacentral:rRNA from 1 species
UACGUAGGGUGCAAGCGUUGUCCGGAAUUACUGGGCGUAAAGCGUGCGCAGGCGGUGAUGUAAGACAGGUGUGAAAUCCCCGGGCUUAACCUGGGAACUGCAUUUGUGACUGCAUCGCUGGAGUGCGGCAGAGGGGGAUGGAAUUCCGCGUGUAGCAGUGAAAUGCGUAGAUAUGCGGAGGAACACCGAUGGCGAAGGCAAUCCCCUGGGCCUGCACUGACGCUCAUGCACGAAAGCGUGGGGAGCAAACAGG